CAAUAUCCCUGAUGAACAUCAGUGCGAAAAUCCUCUAUAAAAUAUCUGCCUCUUCUAUUGAAAACUCCACUGUUGAGUAUUAAGAUUUUUCUCUUCCUUUUUCAUUCUUUAGCAGUUUAUUACGGUGUGUCUAGUUAUACAUAUCUUUGAAUUUACCCUCCUUAACGUUUGUAGAGAUUCUUGCAUCUGAUCCUAAGUGACUUUGCAUCUGUUUUGGAAAAUUCUUAGUCAACAUCUUUUCACAGAGAGCAGAUUAAAGACCAGUUCCCCUCCUCCACUGCCUUUUCAUCUGACUCCUGUGGUCAUUUCUGCUGAUGUCAGCUCCACUCU
rnacentral:lncRNA from 10 species